rnacentral:sRNA from 1 species
UAGCCCACCGAGUCGUGCGGGUGAGAUCCUGCGCUCAGGUUCAGAGAUACGACAACGCGCAGCGUUGCCCGCAGGGUGAGGCCACAGGCCGAAUCAAUCCUGCACGACCCACCC